ensembl:lncRNA
GACAUUUGUAAAAUAUGUUAGAAACCUCUGAAGAUUGUUCCUGAAUUACAGUCCCAUGGUCAUGCUGUAUUGCUCACUGGAAGUUUCUAUAGUUCUUGCUGACUUUCCAGAUGUAGCUUCCAUGAACACUCCUGAUUACCAUGGUGCUGGCAGCAUGAAAGUGCGAGCCUAGAGAUCACUGCAAAAUCAAUGUGCCCGGAGCUUCAGGCAACACAAAGCCGUGUGGAGUGAAGGAGACACGAUGUUCAGAACUUACAAAGCCAGAACUGGUCUUUGAAAAUUCUUCCAAAUCUUACAGUUCACAGAUGAAAGACAUUUGAUAGCGUUAUUUCCCAAGUUUAAUCAUAGUCCUAAGAAUGUAUAUGAAAUCACGAAUAACAAAUUAAGAAACUUGAUGCAACUUUUCUAAACUAUCAGUAACAAAAUGACAGAUUAUAAUCCAUCAUACUAGAGAAAAGACUGCAUUAUCUUGUUAUUCUCAACACAGAAAACGUAACAGAACAUGUCAAAUGAGGCAAUCAGAGAAUUAACAGCAGUUUAUAUAGAGCCAUAACUAUAGAGCCAAAAAAAUCACAGAAAUGCAUCAAGCAAUUUUCUAAAUAUUAAUUUUAUGUUUUGUUAUCCUUGCAGAAUUUGUCAUAAUUAUGAAUUUUAUAAUAUGUUGUGAUUUAUUUUUAUGUUCUAAAUAAAUAUUCAAUCACUACAUUCAAUAAAUUAUUCCAGUGACAUGUCCAUUUCUCUUAAAAGGGACUCCUUGGGCUGUGUAACACCUCAGGUGCCAUAAAACGUGGACCCACUCCUUGUCAAUUACCAUAGCUUCCCUGGGAUAUG